rnacentral:rRNA from 1 species
AUUGAACGCUGGCGGCAUGCCUUACACAUGCAAGUCGAACGGUAACAGGUCUUCGGAUGCUGACGAGUGGCGAACGGGUGAGUAAUACAUCGGAACGUGCCUAGUAGUGGGGGAUAACUACUCGAAAGAGUGGCUAAUACCGCAUGAGAUCUACGGAUGAAAGCAGGGGAUCGCAAGACCUUGUGCUACUAGAGCGGCCGAUGGCAGAUUAGGUAGUUGGUGGGAUAAAAGCUUACCAAGCCAACGAUCUGUAGCUGGUCUGAGAGGACGACCAGCCACACUGGGACUGAGACACGGCCCAGACUCCUACGGGAGGCAGCAGUGGGGAAUUUUGGACAAUGGGCGCAAGCCUGAUCCAGCAAUGCCGCGUGCAGGAAGAAGGCCUUCGGGUUGUAAACUGCUUUUGUACGGAACGAAACGGUCUGGGUUAAUACCCUGGGCUAAUGACGGUACCGUAAGAAUAAGCACCGGCUAACUACGUGCCAGCAGCCGCAGUAACAC